GACGAACGCUGGCGGCGUGCCUAAUACACGCCAGUUGAGCGCUGAAGGUUGGUACUUGUACCAACUGGAUGAGCAGCGAACGGGUGAGUAACGCGUGGGGAAUCUGCCUUUGAGCGGGGGACAACAUUUGGAAACGAAUGCUAAUACCCCAUAAAAACUUUAAACACAAGUUUUAAGUUUGAAAGAUGCAAUUGCAUCACUCAAAGAUGAUCCCGCGUUGUAUUAGCUAGUUGGUGAGGUAAAGGCUCACCAAGGCGAUGAUACAUAGCCGACCUGAGAGGGUGAUCGGCCACAUUGGGACUGAGACACGGCCCAAACUCCUACGGGAGGCAGCAGUAGGGAAUCUUCGGCAAUGGACGAAAGUCUGACCGAGCAACGCCGCGUGAGUGAAGAAGGGUUUCGGAUCGUAAAACUCUGUUGGUAGAGAAGAACGUUGGUGAGAGUGGAAAGCUCAUCAAGUGACGGUAACUACCCAGAAAGGGACGGCUAACUACGUG
rnacentral:rRNA from 1 species